rnacentral:rRNA from 1 species
AUUAAAGCUGUCUCUUUCUUAUUUAUAUAAAUUGUCUUGUAGGUGCAGAGACCUAUAUAUUAAUGAAAGACAAAAAGACCCUAUUGAGCUUUAUUUUUAUCGGGUUUAUAUGGAUAUAUUACUUUGUAACUGUAUAAAAUUUGGUUGGGGCGACAUAGAAAUAUAUAAAUCUUUCUUUAUAUUUUAGAAUUAUAGUUCUUUUAAAAGAUCUAAUUUAUAGAAAAUAGAAAUAGUUACCAUAGGGAUAACAGGCUAAUUCUUUUGGAGAGUUCAAAUUGAUAAAAGAGUUUGGCACCUCGAUGUUGGCUUAAGAUAUCCUAUAGGUGUAGCAGUUUAUAAGGGUUGGUUUGUUCAACCAUUAAAAUCUU